GAGUACGGCCGCAAGGCUGAAACUUAAAGGAAUUGGCGGGGGAGCACUACAACGGGUGGAGCCUGCGGUUUAAUUGGACUCAACGCCGGAAAACUCACCGGGGGCGACAGCAAUAUGUAGGUCAGGUUAAAGGUCUUACCUGAAUCGCUGAGAGGAGGUGCAUGGCCGUCGUCAGUUCGUACUGUGAAGCAUCCUGUUAAGUCAGGCAACGAGCAAGACCCGUGCCCACUGUUACCAGCAUAUCCUUUAUGGAUGAUGGGGACUCUGUGGGGACCGCUGCUGCUAAAGCAGAGGAAGGUGCGGGCUACGGUAGGUCAGUAUGCCCCGAAUCUCCCGGGCUACACGCGGGCUACAAUGGUUGGGACAAUGGGUAUCUACUCCGAAAGGAGUUGGCAAUCUCUUAAACCCAAUCGUAGUUCGAAUUGAGGGCUGUAACUCGCCCUCAUGGAGCUGGAAUCCGUAGUAAUCGCGUUUCAACAUAGCGCGGUGAAUCUGUCCCUGCUCCUUGCACACACCGCCCGUCAAACCAUCCGAGUGAGGUAUGGGUGAGGGCACGAACUUAGUGUCGUGCUCGAACCUAAAUUUCGCAAGGAGGGUUAAGUCGUAACAAGGUAGCCGUAGGGGAAUCUGCGGCUGGAUCACCUCCU
rnacentral:rRNA from 1 species